ensembl:lncRNA
CUGCCUCUUUGCUCUGUUCCCAUUUUGCUUUCCAAAGGACUUUGGCUGAGCACAGGAACUCCACCACCCGACGUCUGACCCCAUUCACACCGCUCAGUGGGGUGAUGUGAGCAGCAUUGCCCCGGGCAUGCGUUGGUUGCCAUGAGCUCAGAGCAGCGCCGGAGUUCCAUCAUGCUCACAAUCCAGGAAAAGAUGAGAAAGAGAGCGCUACCUGCCCCCAGAAACAGGUCCUGAGCUGCCAGUGCUCAGCACAACACCUUGAGGCUGAUGAAUGGGAAUUUCCAUCAGUCUUCAUUGAUCAUCUGGACAACGGGCAAAAAAAACAUAAUAUGGCAUGGAUCAGCUGGGGGAAGGCUUCCCCCCAUUGCCCACAGCCCAGAAAGAUGCCCCAGAAAAUCCUCCUCUUGGUUUUCAUAUUGCUUAUGCACUCCCUCUAUUAUUUCAAUUAAUUAUUAUAAAAUAGGAUAAUGAGAAGCCCCUGGUCAUUGUCUCGGUAUAUUUUGCUGGUUUAUUGCAUCUGAGCUCUUCUUUGCAUCCCUGAGGGAGACCCCAUAUCUCUUCCUGUUGCCCUUAUGGAACAGCUGUGGUUUCUGUCGCCACUCUGAACAGAAGAGCAGAGAUUAUGGCACUGUGCUUCCCCCCAACAGCGUAACCUCAUUGCACGCAUCCAGGAGACCUCGUAACAAUGGUGUUGCCUUUGGCUGGGUCUUGCUCCUUUCGUUUGCUUAUAAGGACGUCAUGUGUGGCAGUGACAGAGACCUCACUGCAGCAGUGAUUUAUCACGACAGCCUCUCCCUCUCUAUCUAUUUCUUGUCAGGGGAGAAAUGAGACCGUGAGUUUUGGCCUUUGUGUCCAGAGGGCACUGGCUGCUUUCUGGGGGAGUUACGCACAAGUCAGGAGCUGCUCUAAAAGACAUUUCUCUCCAAGCACUGGGUUCUCUCUCAGGUGUUUUUUAUCGGUGUGCCUAUAGCCCAGAGCUGGCCACACAUUCAGCUUAGUCUCAUCCCAGUGCAUGAGGGCAUUUUCUGCUGUCCCGGAGGCAGCAAGACCCUCUCUUUGCCUUGGUGCUCCUCUUACAGAUGGCAUUCAGUGCACAAAUAGGAGAUGUGAUGCUCCUGGCAGAGGGUACCCACUCCCAUAGGUGCUCAGAGCCAAGAGGAGCUGUGGGUGGGUGCUCAAAACGAGGUCCUUUGAAUACGCAAAGUGCAACGCAUCAUUAAUCGUGUUCCUUCAUAUUGUUAUUAUCCCCAAAAGCUUCAACCUGAGGCUGUAACAGCUCCUAAUUACAUUGAAGCUCUGCCUGAUGAUUGAGCCCGGCUCAUCACUGCACAGACAACUUGCAGGUGCUGCACACACAGCUCAGGGCAAUGGAGCGUGCAGCAGGAGCGAGCUGCUCUGUCACAAUUGUCCAUGGAAGAGACAUCUCCAUCUGUGCAAGCACACCCUGUGGCAGCUGAGAGAAGUGGGGAACACUGAGCCCCACUAUCUGAAGUGCAGGAGCAGGGGCCCACUUGGACCAGAGGAGCACAUCUGCUCUGCUGAUGGCUGCUCACCAUGUGCCCUACCAGCUGGUUAGGAAUCAGUCAUAGAAUCACUGAGGUUGGAAGAGACCACUGAGACCAUCGAGUCCAACCACCAACCCCUCCCCACUGUGAAGAUGGUGAUGAUCUGGCAGCCUUUGGGCCCUGCACAGAGGGAAUGAUCCAGUGGUUCCAGGCGUUGGGUCUCAGCAGCAGACCCGUGAUCUUAUGGCAGAAGCACCCAGAAAUGCCUCUCAAACCUCUCCCAGGGGCUCUGGUCUCUGUGUCUUGUGUGUGGCCAUCAGUGCCUGGUGCAGCCCAGGACAUGCCAGGGGCACCACGGUUGGACUGCCAUUGAGCAGAGAACUGGAGGAGACAUUGGAAGUGCACCAUUCCCUUGGCUGUAGGGAUGGAUCCGCUUUGGUGACCAGCUGUAACUCCUCAUAUAGAGUCAGAGGAGAGGUGAUUGGCGCCGGGUGCAAUGCUGUUAAGAAAUGCCUUCACAAUGCCUCCCCAUUUCCAGAGCCUGAGCUGCUUCCCUGCAAUCUGCCGCGUCUGGGAGCGCCUGGGGAGAGGCAGAUGUUCUGUCAGUUGAUGAAACAAUUCCAGGUCAAAGUCACAAGGACUUCCCACCCCCUUGGAGAGCCAGAAAGCUGAAAGAGCUCACAUUGUGCUCUACCUCCAUGUAAUGACAGCUGAGGAGCAGGCGGGAUGCUCCCACCUUGGCCACAUCAGAUCUGCACUGCAGGGAUGGGGUGACCUUCCAGCACCUCCACAUGCUGAGAAUGCCCAGCCUGGGUCAGGAAAUGCUCCCAGCAGAACAGGCUGAGGUCCCCUUCUAUGAGAAGGUGUGGGAUCCCAUAGUGACAUGGUGCAGGAUCCCAUGGUGACGUGGCGUGGGACCCCAUGGUGAACUGGUUUGGGACCCCAUGGUGACAUACUGUGGGACCAUAUGGAGAAAUGGUGUGGGAUCUAUGGAGACAUACUUUGGGACCACAUGUAUCCAUGGUGUGAGAUCCAUGUUGACAUGAUGUGGGAUCCAUAUUGACACGGUGUGGGUCCCCAUGGAGACACGUUGUAGGAUCCCAUGGAGACACGCUAUGGAACCACUUCAUUUCGACACAGCUUUGACACAACUUCUCACCACAGUUUCCAAGAGCAACUGCAGCUAUGCCCCCCUGCACCCUUUUCUUUCAGGUUUGGGGUGUUUUUUUUUCAGCUUGAGCUCAUUCUUCCACUGGGCGCUCCUGGAGAGAGCUGUUUGAUUAGUGCAGCUGCCCGAGGGCUGCAGGCUUUGCUGUUUCCCCACCGUCGCCGUGGGAGCAGCCGUUGUUUUCUUUUCUCUUUUCCCCCAUCAGCUGCAUUCCACCAAAACCAGAGGGCAGAGGCAUCCAGGAGGCAGAGCUGCUCCUGGCAGGGAAGGCGGAUAUGCAGCAGUUCUAUUUGCUUCCACAAAUAAUUUUGCUAAUAUAUCAGAGUUUUGCUUUUUCCCUUUCCACCUUUCUCUUCCUUUCUUCUGUUCUUUCCCCUUCUUGGUGCCGAGUACAAUUAAUAGGGUGAUGUCUGAAGUUGCUUAUUCCGGAAUAUUUUUCUAUUUCUUUUUCCUCUCCUUAUAUCCUUCUCCAUUUCAGAGGAGCUCCAGUUGUUCCAAAAUCACUGAGAUCACAAUUCAGAGCUCACGGAGUUUGAAAAGCAAAUUUUUCACUUCGUUUGCUCUUUUCCUUCCCCAAAUGAUUUCCCAUGAAUUUGCCAUUGCAUUAGAAGGACUUCUGCAUCUCUCUGUAAGCAGACAUCCACACUGCCCACAUUUGAAUUUGAAUUCAUUCUCAGACUCCAUAUGCCCGGGGGGUGAUGGGUGGUCAUCUGAUGGGUGAUUCUGUGCCAUCCCACCAGGUGGUUUUCCAUCCACUGAUCUGAAUCCGACCCACAUAUAUGGAAUAUGCGCAUGCUAGAAGGGUGCCAAGUCUCCAGGCUUGACCUCAUGGGGAUACAGAGCAUCUGCUCCCACUGAAGGGUGUGCAGGUGGUGAGAGCAGAGCAUAAGGACAAAGACGGAGCUCUUACCAUUCACAAAACUCCCUGACCUACAGCAGCCAAAUCCUCCUGCCCUGUCCCCAUCCACCCUACCAUGGGCAGCACGUCCUGGGCAGAUGGAAUCACGGAAUCAUGGAAUCAAGGAAGGGUUGGGUUGGAAGGAACCUUAAACAUCAUAGAAUCACGAAGUCACAGCAAGGUUGGGUCAAAAUGGACCCCCAUUACCCCCCUGCCAUGGGCUGGCUGCCCCACACCAGCUCAGGCUGCCCAAGGCCCCAUCCAGUGGCCUUGGGCACCCCCAGGGAUGGAGCACCCACACUUCUCAGGGCAGCAGUGCCGGGGAUUCAGUGCUUCUGGGGCAGGAAUUCCUCACAUGUGACCCAAAUCUCCCCUCUUUUAGUUAUCACCAUCCUCCCCCAUCCCACAGCUAUCUGCCUGUGUCCAAAGCUGCUCUCUGCUCGUUGGAUGGACAUCUCUUCUAUGCAGCCAGGGCAAUUAAAACCCCCACACCCAGAGCGCCAGAGCCACCCACGGAGCAGCAGCUGAGAGGCACAAGUGAGACCGCAGGACCUGGUGAGGACCCAAGAAAGGCAGAAAGAUGAAGAAUUUGGACCCGUCCGCUCACAUGAAGUCAUCUUAUCGCCUGAUUGCGAAACCAGAGAGCCGGGAGAGCAUCUGAAUGGCUGCUGCCUCUGCCGCAGUGAUAAAUUAGAUCACUUUGAGAGCACUUUAGAGCUGGACGGAAAAUUCAGUGGCUCUCCUGCCAAUUUCAUCCUGUAAGUGGAAUUAACGCUUGCUUUCGCUGCACUCUCCAGCCACAAGCAAGUGCCCCUGUGCACCACCCCGAGGGACUUUGCUCCCAGGAGUUUCAUCCAUCUGAACCAGCAGAAAAUGGGGAGAAGGAGAGACCUCGCUGUGCUCGCGGCCCCAAAGGAGUUGGAGCUCCUCCUGUUGGGUCUUCAUGUCUCAGAUCCUACAGAGAUGGGUCUGCAGAGCAAGGCUUGAGCCAACAGUGAGGAAUUGCCCUGAAUGUGGUGUUUUCCUCUUGGGUGAAGAGCAUCUGCCUGGGGAGCAGAAAGCUGAGGGGGAGAUUCAGCACUGGGAGCAGUGGAAGAGAGAGAAGGGAGCGCUGCCCACCAUGGCAGGAUCUCCAUCCACAGAUGUGCCAGAUGCAGGAGGAGAAGCCCCCAAAUGAACUAGAAAACACAAGGGAAAUCAGUUUAGGAAGUAACCUGACACACCAAGUCUGCUGUCUGUGC